UACAGAGGGUGCGAGCGUUAAUCGGAAUUACUGGGCGUAAAGCGUGCGUAGACGGUUAUUUAAGUCGGGUGUGAAAGCCCCGGGCUCAACCUGGGAAUUGCAUUCGAGACUGAAUAGCUAGGGUACGGUAGAGGGAAGUGGAAUUUCCGGUGUAGCGGUGAAAUGCGUAGAUAUCGGAAGGAACAUCAGUGGCGAAAGCGGGUCUCUGGGCCGAUACUGACGCUGAGGAGCGAAAGCAUGGGUAGCGAACAGG
rnacentral:rRNA from 1 species